rnacentral:rRNA from 1 species
AGAGUUUGAUCCUGGCUCAGGAUGAACGCUAGCUACAGGCUUAACACAUGCAAGUCGAGGGGCAGCAUGAUUGAAGCUUGCUUCAAUCGAUGGCGACCGGCGCACGGGUGAGUAACACGUAUCCAACCUGCCGAUAACUCGGGGAUAGCCUUUCGAAAGAAAGAUUAAUACCCGAUAGCAUAGUAUUUCCGCAUGGUUUCACUAUUAAAGAAUUUCGGUUAUCGAUGGGGAUGCGUUCCAUUAGAUAGUUGGCGGGGUAACGGCCCACCUAGUCUUCGAUGGAUAGGGGUUCUGAGAGGAAGGUCCCCCACAUUGGAACUGAGACACGGUCCAAACUCCUACGGGAGGCAGCAGUGAGGAAUAUUGGUCAAUGGACGAGAGUCUGAACCAGCCAAGUAGCGUGAAGGAUGUCUGCCCUAUGGGUUGUAAACUUCUUUUAUACGGGAAUAAAGUGGAGUAUGCAUACUCCUUUGUAUGUACCGUAUGAAUAAGGAUCGGCUAACUCCGUGCCAGCAGCCGCGGUAAUACGGAGGAUCCGAGCGUUAUCCGGAUUUAUUGGGUUUAAAGGGAGCGUAGGCGGGUGCUUAAGUCAGUUGUGAAAGUUUGCGGCUCAACCGUAAAAUUGCAGUUGAUACUGGGCGCCUUGAGUGCAGCAUAGGUAGGCGGAAUUCGUGGUGUAGCGGUGAAAUGCUUAGAUAUCACGAAGAACUCCGAUUGCGAAGGCAGCUUACUGGACUGUAACUGACGCUGAUGCUCGAAAGUGUGGGUAUCAAACAGGAUUAGAUACCCUGGUAGUCCACACAGUAAACGAUGAAUACUCGCUGUUGGCGAUACACAGUCAGCGGCCAAGCGAAAGCAUUAAGUAUUCCACCUGGGGAGUACGCCGGCAACGGUGAAACUCAAAGGAAUUGACGGGGGCCCGCACAAGCGGAGGAACAUGUGGUUUAAUUCGAUGAUACGCGAGGAACCUUACCCGGGCUUAAAUUGCAGCGGAAUGUAGUGGAAACAUUACAGCCUUCGGGCCGCUGUGAAGGUGCUGCAUGGUUGUCGUCAGCUCGUGCCGUGAGGUGUCGGCUUAAGUGCCAUAACGAGCGCAACCCUUAUCUAUAGUUACUAUCAGGUCAUGCUGAGGACUCUAUGGAGACUGCCGUCGUAAGAUGUGAGGAAGGUGGGGAUGACGUCAAAUCAGCACGGCCCUUACGUCCGGGGCUACACACGUGUUACAAUGGGGGGUACAGAAGGCAGCUACCUGGCGACAGGAUGCUAAUCCCAAAAACCUCUCUCAGUUCGGAUUGGAGUCUGCAACCCGACUCCAUGAAGCUGGAUUCGCUAGUAAUCGCGCAUCAGCCACGGCGCGGUGAAUACAUUCCCGGGCCUUGCACACACCGCCCGUCAAG